GACGAACGCUGGCGGCGUGCCUAAUACAUGCAAGUCGAGCGGAAGUUGAAGAGCUUGCUCUUCAACUUUAGCGGCGGACGGGUGAGUAACACGUGGGCAACCUGCCCUGCAGAUCGGGAUAACUCCGGGAAGCCGGUGCUAAUACCGAAUAGUUUUCGCCACCCCCUGGUGGCGUACGGAAAGACGGUUUCGGCUGUCACUGCAGGAUGGGCCCGCGGCGCAUUAGCUAGUUGGUGGGGUAACGGCCCACCAAGGCGACGAUGCGUAGCGGACCUGAGAGGGGGAUCGGCCACACUGGGACUGAGACACGGCCCAGACUCCUACGGGAGGCAGCAGUAGGGAAUCUUCCGCAAUGGACGAAAGUCUGACGGAGCAACGCCGCGUGAGUGACGAAGGUUUUCGGAUCGUAAAACUCUGUUGUGAGGGAAGAACAAGUACCAACUAACUACUGGUACCUUGACGGUACCUCACCAGAAAGCCACGGCUAACUACGUGCCAGCCGCCGCAGUAAUAC
rnacentral:rRNA from 1 species